rnacentral:rRNA from 1 species
AUCUACCUAGUAGUAUGGAAUAGCCAUUAGAAAUGAUGGGUAAUACUGUAUAAUCCCUGCGGGGGAAAGAUUUAUCGCUAUUAGAUGAGCCUACGUUAGAUUAGCUAGUUGGUAAGGUAAUGGCUUACCAAGGCUAUGAUCUAUAGCUGGUCUGAGAGGACGAUCAGCCACACUGGAACUGAGAUACGGUCCAGACUCCUACGGGAGGCAGCAGUGGGGAAUAUUGGACAAUGGGCGAAAGCCUGAUCCAGCUAUGCCGCGUGAGUGAAGAAGGCCUUCGGGUUGUAAAACUCUUUCAAUAGGGAAAAUAAUGACGGUACCUAUA